CGAAUGGGCGCAAGCCUGACCCAGCGACGCCGCGUGGGGGUGAAGGCCUUCGGGUUGUAAACCCCUGUCAGGUGGGAAGAACGUCGCGCUGGAUAAUACCCGGCGUGGCUUGACUGUACCACCAAAGGAAGCCCCGGCUAACUCCGUGCCAGCAGCCGCGGUAAUACGGAGGGGGCAAGCGUUAUUCGGAAUUACUGGGCGUAAAGCGCACGUAGGCGGCGCAGUAAGUCAAAGGUGAAAGCCCUCGGCUCAACCGAGGAGUUGCCUUUGAAACUGCUUCGCUUGAGUCCGGGAGGGGGGAGCGGAAUUCCCAGUGUAGCGGUGAAAUGCGUAGAUACUGGGAGGAACACCGGUGGCGAAGGCGGCUCCCUGGACCGGAACUGACGCUGAGGUGCGAAAGCGUGGGUAGCAAACAGGAUUAGAUACCCUGGUAGUCCACGCCGUAAACGAUGGGCACUAGGUGUAGCGGGUGUCGACCCCUGCUGUGCCGAAGCUAACGCAUUAAGUGCCCCGCCUGGGGAGUACGGUCGCAAGGCUG
rnacentral:rRNA from 1 species